rnacentral:rRNA from 1 species
GACAGAGGGUGCAAACGUUGCUCGGAAUCACUGGGCGUAAAGGGCGUGUAGGCGGGAAGGUAAGUCGGGCGUGAAAUCCCUGGGCUCAACCCAGGAACUGCACUCGAAACUACUUUUCUUGAGUGCCGGAGAGGAAAGCGGAAUUCCUGGUGUAGAGGUGAAAUUCGUAGAUAUCAGGAGGAACACCAGUGGCGAAGGCGGCUUUCUGGUCUGCUCUUGACGCUGAGGCGCGAAAGCUAGGGUAGCAAACGGG